UUAAAUGAAUAAGGGCGUAUGGUGGAUGCCUAGGCAUGUAGAGCGGAAGAAGGACGCAGCUAACGGCGAAACGCGACGGGGAGUGGUAAGCACACAUCGAUCCGUCGGUCUCCGAAUGGGGAAACCCAGCGCGAGUAAUGUCGCGUUACCCAUGAGUGAAUACAUAGCUCAUGAGGAGAGAACCCAGGGAAUUGAAACAUCUUAGUACCUGGAGGAAAAGAAAAUAAGAAUGAUUCCCUCAGUAGCGGCGAGCGAACGGGGAAGAGCCCAAACCAGCCUAAGGGCUGGGGUAGUAGGACCACGAUGUGGUACAGUAACCGAUAGAAGAAGGACAUUGAAAGGUCCGCCAAAGAGGGUGCAAGCCCCGUAAUCGAAAUUGGAAGCUGACCUAGUGGAAUCCUGAGUACGGCGAGGCACGUGGAACCUUGUCGGAAGCAUCCGGGACCAUCCGGAAAGGCUAAAUACUCCUACAUGACCGAUAGUGAACCAGUACCGUGAGGGAAAGGUGAAAAGAACCGCGGGAGCGGAGUGAAAUAGAACCUGAAACCAUAUGCUUACAAGAAGACAGAGCCCGUUAAGGGGUGAUGUCGUGCCUUUUGUAGAAUGAACCGGCGAGUUAUCUUAUCGUGCGAGGUUAAGUGGAAGACACGGAGCCGAAGCGAAAGCGAGUCUGAAUAGGGCGAGAGUACGAUGAGAUAGACCCGAAGCCGUAGUGAUCUAGCCAUGACCAGGUUGAAGUUUGGGUGAAACCAAAUGGAGGACCGAACCGACCCCCGUUGAAAAGUUGGCGGAUGAGUUGUGGCUAGCGGAGAAAUUCCAAUCGAACACGGCGAUAGCUGGUUCUCCCCGAAAUAGCUUUAGGGCUAGCGUCGAAGUAAGGGUAGUGGAGGUAGAGCACUGAAUUCAUGAUGGCGCCGUCAAGGUGUACUGAAUGAAAUCAAACUCCGAAUGCCAUUAUUGAAUCUUCGGCAGUCAGACUGUGGGUGAUAAGGUCCAUGGUCAAAAGGGAAACAGCCCAGAUCAUCAGUUAAGGUCCCAAAAUUACCGCUAAGUGGAAAAGGAUGUGGGGAUGCACAGACAACUAGGAGGUUGGCUUAGAAGCAGCCACCCUUCAAAGAGUGCGUAACAGCUCACUAGUCGAGUGACCCUGCGCCGAAAAUUAACCGGGGCUAAGCGGUAUACCGAAACUAUGGCAAUGAUGUAAAUCAUUGGGUAGGGGAGCGUUCCAUGGGCGUUGAAGCUGUACCGUAAGGAGCAGUGGAGCGCAUGGAAGUGAGAAUGCCGGUGUGAGUAGCGAGAUGCAGGUGAGAAUCCUGCACACCGAUAGACCAAGGAUUCCAGGGGAAGGUUCGUCCGCCCUGGGUAAGUCGGGACCUAAGGCGAGGCUGAAAAGCGUAGUCGAUGGAAAACAGGUUGAUAUUCCUGUACCCGCGCAUCGAGUGAUGGAGUGACAAAGAAGGCUAACCGGACCGGUAAAUGGAUUCCGGACCAAGCGAGGUAGGAGGCAGUCAGGCAAAUCCGGCUGUCAAUCUGAAGGCGUGAUGGGGAGUGAACAGCGCGAGCUAAGUAGCGAAGACGGCGAUGCCAGCUUUCAAGAAAAGCUUCUAGCGCUAAUCGAUGAGCGGCCCGUACCAAAACCGACACAGGUGGUCAAGGCGAGAAGCCUAAGGUGAGCGAGAGAACUGUUGCCAAGGAACUCGGCAAAAUAGCCCCGUACGUUCGCAAGAAGGGGCGCUCGAAAGAGCCGCAGUGAAGAGGCCCAAGCAACUGUUUAACUAAAACACAGCUCUCUGCAAAGUCGCAAGACGAAGUAUAGGGGGUGACGCCUGCCCGGUGCUGGAAGGUUAAGAGGAUAUGUUAGUCGCAAGACGAAGCAUUGAAUUGAAGCCCCAGUGAACGGCGGCCGUAACUAUAACGGUCCUAAGGUAGCGAAAUUCCUUGUCAGGUAAGUUCUGACCCGCACGAAAG
rnacentral:rRNA from 1 species